rnacentral:lncRNA from 10 species
AGCCAAUCCUCUUCUGAUUUCUCUCCUUACAGACCUCAGCUGACUUGUAAAUGAGUGGAGUCCUAUGGGAAGGUUUGAUGUUUUAGACAACUUUGAUUUCUCUACAAUUGUUUCGACAAAGUAUGAACUUAGUAAAUUUUGUGAAUGAACUGCUUUGGUUCUUCUCUACAAAAUGAGGAUAAAGAGACCCAUCUCAUAAAAUUGCUUUGAGGAAUAAAUGAGAUAAAUUAUGUGCAAGUGUUAUGUAAUCUACAAAGAAGUUGUGGUGAAGGCCAUCAUUAUUGGUUAAAAUUCAAACAUAUUCUUAAUAAAGAAAAAGCAAGCAUGACGACCAGCAAGUGGUAUUUAAAAGAAUAUAAACUUGUCAGUGUUCUAGUGACAAACAUCAAAAGGCG